rnacentral:rRNA from 1 species
AGGGUUUGAUCAUGGCUCAGGAUGAACGCUGGCGGCGUGCCUAACACAUGCAAGUCGAGCGGGAAAUCUUGGAAUGAUUCUUCGGAGGAAUGAAGAGAUGGAGAGCGGCGGACGGGUGAGUAACGCGUAGGCAACCUGCCCUUUGCAGAGGGAUAGCCACUGGAAACGGUGAUUAAAACCUCAUAAUACUGAAGGUUCACAUGGACAUUUGGUCAAAGAUUUAUCGGCAAAGGAUGGGCCUGCGUCUGAUUAGCUAGUUGGUGAGGUAACGGCUCACCAAGGCAACGAUCAGUAGCCGACCUGAGAGGGUAAUCGGCCACAUUGGAACUGAGACACGGUCCAA